GAUCCUGGCUCAGAACGAACGCUGGCGGCAGGCUUAACACAUGCAAGUUGAACGGGAUUUGCUAAGUGCUUGCACGGAGCAAUGAGAGUAGCGCACUGGUGAGUAACACGUGGGAACAGUGCCUUUUGGUGGGGGACAACAGAGGGAAACUUCUGCUAAUACCGCAUAAGCCCUAAGGGGGAAAGAUUAAUUGCCGAAAGAUUGGCCCGCGGAAGAUUAGGUAGUUGGUGGGGUAAAGGCCUACCAAGCCGACGAUCUAUAGCUGGUCUGAGAGGACGAGCAGCCACAUUGGAACUGAGACACGGUCCAGACUCCUACGGGAGGCAGCAGUGAGGAAUAUUGGGCAAUGGAGGAAACUCUGAACCCCAGCCAUGCCGCGUGAGUGAAGAAGGUUUUCGAAUUGUAAAGCUCUUUCGGAUACGAGGAUGAUGACGGUAGUAUCUAAAGAAGCCCCGGCAAACUUCGUGCCAGCCGCGGC
rnacentral:rRNA from 1 species